rnacentral:rRNA from 1 species
GCGGAUGACGGGAGCUGUGCUCCUUGAUUCAGCGGCGGACGGGUGUAGUAAUGCCUAGGAAUCUGCCUGGUAGUGGGGGACAACGUUUCGAAAGGAACGCUAAUACCGCAUACGUCCUACGGGAGAAAGCAGGGGACCUUCGGGCCUUGCGCUAUCAGAUGAGCCUAGGUCGGAUUAGCUAGUUGGUGGGGUAAUGGCUCACCAAGGCGACGAUCCGUAACUGGUCUGAGAGGAUGAUCAGUCACACUGGAACUGAGACACGGUCCAGACUCCUACGGGAGGCAGCAGUGGGGAAUAUUGGACAAUGGGCGAAAGCCUGAUCCAGCCAUGCCGCGUGUGUGAAGAAGGUCUUCGGAUUGUAAAGCACUUUAAGUUGGGAGGAAGGGCAGUAAGCUAAUACCUUGCUGUUUUGACGUUACCGACAGAAUAAGCACCGGCUAACUCUGUGCCAGCAGCCGCGGUAAUACAGAGGGUGCAAGCGUUAAUCGGAAUUACUGGGCGUAAAGCGCGCGUAGGUGGUUCGUUAAGUUGGAUGUGAAAGCCCCGGGCUCAACCUGGGAACUGCAUCCAAAACUGGCGAGCUAGAGUACGGUAGAGGGUGGUGGAAUUUCCUGUGUAGCGGUGAAAUGCGUAGAUAUAGGAAGGAACACCAGUGGCGAAGGCGACCACCUGGACUGAUACUGACACUGAGGUGCG